rnacentral:rRNA from 1 species
AAUUUUGGACAAUGGGCGCAAGCCUGAUCCAGCCAUGCCGCGUGAGUGAAUAAGGCCUUCGGGUUGUAAAUCUCUUUCGGCCGGAAAGAAAUCGCGCAGGCUAAUACUAUGCUCGGAUGUCGGUACCGUCCUAAGAAGCACCGGCUAACUAUGUGCGAGCGACCGCGGUAAUACGUAGGGUGCGAGCGUUACUCGGAAUUACUGGGCGUAAAGCGUGCGCAGGCGGUUGAUUAAGACAGGCGUGAGAUCCCCGGGCUUAACCUGGGAACUGCGCUUGUGACUGGUCAGCUAGAGUACGGCAGAGGGGGGUGGAAUUCCACGUGUAGCAGUGAAAUGCGUAGAGAUGUGGAGGAACACCGAUGGCGAAGGCAGCCCCCUGGGCCGAUACUGACGCUCAUGCACGAAAGCGUGGGUAGCAAACAGG